UUAAGGCAAGAGAAUAUAGAGAAUGUUCUAGGAGUUUUCAGGAAUGAGAAAGAUAAGUAGAAGGACUUAUAUCAGGUUCAAAAUCUUCAAUAAAGCAAUGCUGCGUGAUGAGCUGGUUCAAGGUGGCGCUGUGUGUGGAUGCCAAUAUGGCCAGAAGUUUAAAGUAAACAGGCAACAAUAUGGAUACUAAUGUUGCCAAGGAUGAGAAUGAAAAUGAUGGCAUUAUAAAAUGCUUUCUCUGUGCCAGUGACUAUUUCAGUGCUUUGCAGGUCUUAACUUAUUUAGUUGUUAUAAUGUUGGUAUUAUUAUUAUUACUCCCACUUUACAAAUGAGGAAACUAAGACCUGUAGAUGUUAAGCUGUCUUAAUACGCUUAGGAAAUGGUAAAGUCAGGAUUCAAAUCCAGGUGGUAUGAAUCCAGAAUCCCGGCCCUUGACCACUGUGCUUCCUUUCUCAUAAUAGGAAAUGCAGUCAAAGAAAAACAAUAGAGGGUUAGAAGAAAAGAUGUGAGCCAAGUGAUGAAACAUCUAGGAAGGUAAAAGUGAAUCCUAAAGGAGAAUGCAAGAGCAGGGGUAAUGAGAAGUGUGUGAUAUAAAAGGAUGGAUCAUAUUAACUUCACAUUUAGGGCAGCAAUAAGAAGACAUAAGCAGGAGCCAACAGCCAGUUUCUUCACCUCCCUCCCAUGUUAGGAGAGGGAGGUGAUAAAGCCUAUAAAGUCAUUCUGGAUGACUGGGUUUCCCUGGAUAUGAGACAGAAGAGAGAAGAGAUAAAGAAAUAAGAUACCACUCAGGAAAUGGGAGAAAGGAGUUGGGAAAAAUGAUUUCUUUUAAGCUAAUUGAACUGUUUAGGAUAUAGUAUUGGCCAAAAACCAGUUGGUUGGAUAGCCCAUUGCAUUCCUUUACCAAGACUUGUAGGUUUGGAGUGAACCAUGAAAGGACCAGGAAUUGACUUAAUGCCUUCCAAAGAGAGGAAGUAAUCAUGACCUGCCAGUCCUACAAAUGCAGACUACUAACCUGGUAUGAUGAAGGAAAGGACUAUUUCUCAAUGGCUUAUCUUUGCCAGUACACAGUAACCAGCCCAGUGCUAGGAAUAUACUAGGCAUCCAGUAGAUAACUGCUACAUGAUC
rnacentral:lncRNA from 10 species